GCACUCGCAGUGCACCAGCCUUUUUCAGAAACGGUCGGCCUGCCUGGUCACGGCCGGACUGGACCACGUGCAUGGUGCGUGCUCCAGUCCGGCCGUGGCCUCGCUUUGCACUUCGCCACAUUGUGAAGUCUGGGCCGGCUAACGGCUAUUUCCGUUUCCUACACGCACAAGCAUCUGAGCAAAGAACAUUCCCGUAUGCUCUCCCCCUGGGUUGCACAUGGACACGCCGAUCAUCAGGGCCUUUUUUCAUCGACACCCCCAUCCAAGUGAAGGCAGCUAGACCUCUCUCAAGCACCCAGAUUGCCGAAUGGAAAACCUUGGUUCGCCGGCUACGCCGCCUGACGCUGCCUUCGAUGGUCUACAGUGGUCUUUGUCCAAGUGCUUCUGGCCUACGCUCUCGAUUACCUACAAUGGAAGUAACUUUUUUUUUAGGCCUGCUAAGCGAUAACUGCGACCUAGUGUGGACUUCAUAUUUCUCCAGGGGGACGAAGAUUGCAAGCGACUUUACAUUUCAAGAAUAAAUACACGACUCUGUUCUCACGA